rfam:Zea mays cultivar B73 chromosome 4, whole genome shotgun sequence.
AUACCUUUUUCGGUCUUUUGGCUAAGAUCAAGUGUAGUAUCUACUUUUAUCAGUUUAAUAUCUGAUAUAUGGACCAUGUGUCUACUUUGAUAUUAAAUUUAUUUUUUAUGGUGAGUGUAACACCCCUGGUGUUACUAUAACUAAAACUUGAGCAUGACAUCAUAAGCAUUGGCAUUGCAUGUGUGUGACACACCUA